GGGUAUUACGGUACAGAGUCAAUGUGGAGGCUAUAUACAGGGGGUACCGGUACAGAGUCAAUGUGGAGGCUAUAUACAGGGGGGUACCGGUAAAGAGUCAAUGUGGAGGCUAUAUACAGGGGGUACCGGUACAGAGUCAAUGUGGAGGCUAUAUACAGGGGGUACCGGUACAGAGUCAAUGUGGAGGCUAUAUACAGGGGGUACCGGUACAGAGUCAAUGUGGAGGCUAUAUACAGGGUGUUACGGUACAGAGUCAAUGUGGAGGCUAUAUACAGGGGGUACCGGUACAGAGUCAAUGUGGA
rnacentral:lncRNA from 1 species